CUACGGGGGGAGCAAGCGUUGUUCGGAUUCAUUGGGCGUAAAGGGUGCGUAGGCGGCGCGGUAAGUCGGGUGUGAAAUCUCGGAGCUUAACUCCGAAACUGCAUUCGAUACUGCCGUGCUUGAGGACUGGAGAGGAGACUGGAAUUUACGGUGUAGCGGUGAAAUGCGUAGAUAUCGUAAGGAAGACCAGUGGCGAAGGCGGGUCUCUGGGCAGUGAACUGACGCUGGAGGAGCGAAAGCGUGGGGAGCGAACAGG
rnacentral:rRNA from 1 species